GGAUUUGCUCCAUCGAGUGCACGUGGCAUUUUUCAGUCCCGAAGAUAAAACUAUGAGCAGGCAUCGUGACCACCCAAGGGCUGAUCCUGGAGUCAACGUGGGACCCUCUGAGGAAACACAGCCUCCUGUUCAGUGUGUCAACAACCCGCUGGGUAAUGUUGGAGUGGUGGUCUACGUCCUGUGCACAUGUCCCAUGAACCAGACACCUCUUCAUGGAGAGAGGGGAUUAACGAUGAAGAGGAACACAUGGAGGUCAACUGACACACACACACACACACUGUGUGCCUUAUUUUAUCAUUUAAUACAAUGCCUGUUUUACAUAUUCGGGGGGUUUUAAGGGCAAUUCCACCAAAGUAAUGCAUGUCUAUUGACUGUUCAGUGAUGAGCAAAAUGGGAAACUGAAGCAAAGAUCAGACACCAACACAUAACCUCUGUGGUUAAUGGUAAUAGUGAGAGAUUAAUCAUUAGCAUGUCUUGGGGGUAUGAUCUUUGACCCUCUGUAACAUUCUCACUCAUCAUAAUUCAUAAUUCAUUCGGUAUUAUCCCUAAUCAUUGUAGCACCCACAUUGUCAGUGGCGUCAUUAGGCCUUGGCUUCCGAGGCUGUUUUUGAUGGUAAAAUAAAAAUUUCAGUCUGA